rnacentral:tRNA from 2 species
CAGUGGUGAGAGCGAGCGACUCAUAAUCGCCAGGUCGCUGGUUCAAAUCCAGCAAGGGCCACCA